rnacentral:rRNA from 1 species
CCAGCCGCCGCGGUAAUACGUGAGUGGCAAGCGUUAUCCGGAAUUACUGGGCGUAAAGGGCGUGUAGGUGGUACUAUAAGUCAUAGGUAAAAACACUAAGCUUAACUUAGAUGGAGCCUAUGAAACUGUAAUACUAGAGUAUAGGAUAGGAAGAUGGAAUUAUUACUGUAGCGGUGGAAUGCGUAGAUAGUAAUAGGAAGGCCAACGACGAAGGUAAUCUUCUGGACUAAUACUGACACUGAGGCGCGAAAGCUAGGGGAGCAAACAGGAUUAGAUACCCUGGUAGUCCUAGCCGUAAACGAUGGAUACUAGGUGUAGGAGAUAGCAUCUUCUGUGCCGAAGCAAACGCAUUAAGUAUCCCGCCUGGGGAGUACGAUCGCAAGGUUGAAACUCAAAGGAAUUGACGGGGGCCCGCACAAGCC